AUGGCCCCGGCGGGCAGUGCUGGGAAGCACCGCCCAGGGACGCGGGGCUGCCGCGGUCCGCUCCGCCGUCGCCACCCACAUCCCCGAAAGUUUUUUGGAGCGAGGCGGGCACGGCCGGGGGGGUGUCGUCGGCCCUCCAGGCCCGCGGAGCGGCGGCGCUGCGGGCCCCCGGAAGUUCAUGAAGUGGAUCAUGGUCUUAUUAGCCAGCUACUUGCUGAUUCAGAGGAGACUCUUAGUUCGUGCACAGAGAAAAUGCAGGGUCCUGCUCAAUAUAGCUGGAGUGCUGACUGGAGCUUUUGGCUCUCAAGUUCCACUUACAAAUAUAGGAGUGAGGAAUUCAAGAGACAGUUUUCUCAUCUGCCAGACUCGGAGAGGCUUAUAGUAGAUUAUGCCUGUGCUCUCCAGAAGGAUAUCCUGCUGCAAGGACGCUUGUAUCUCUCUGAAAACUGGCUCUGUUUCCACAGCAACAUUUUCCGAUGGGAGACCACGAUUUCUAUUGCCUUGAAGGAUAUCACUUUCAUGACAAAGGAGAAGACUGCUCGGCUCAUUCCAAAUGCCAUUCAAAUAGCAACAAAAGGAGAGAAGUUUUUCUUCACAUCAUUCAGUGCAAGAGACAGAAGCUACCUCAGUAUCUUCCGCUUAUGGCAGAAUGUGUUGCUGGAUAAGAGACUGACCAAGCAGGAAUUCUGGCAGCUGGUGCACCAGAGCUAUGGCUCCGAGCUGGGCCUGAACAGCGAGGAGAUGGAGAGCUUCCACUCGUCGUCUGAGGACAAUGGGCAGCCUCGAUCCCCUAUUUGUGAUGAAUCUGGAGAAAGGGAUGAAAAACUACCUAAAACAGUUGGUUUAGUUCGGGAGCCUGUGCCUCAAACGGAAGGAGAGUCCCUCAAUAGCCACACGUUGUCCGGAGUGGAGGAGUCUGCAAGUGAGAAGCAAAUAAAGAAGAGCCCUCUUCCAUCUUCAGAGAGAAAAUCUGUUAAGCUAGUCAGGAGCAGGUCUUUCGAAAAGUCCUUGGACCUGAAUGAGAAUGAAAAUCUUCCAGAGAAGAGCAGUGCCUCAGACAGUGAAGAAGCAGUGAAGGAGACUGUCUCUGAGAACGAUCUCUAUGGGAGACUUUUUAUAAACAGAGUUUUCCACAUCACUGCAGACAAGAUGUUUGAAAUCCUUUUCACCAAUUCUCACUUCAUGCAGAGGUUUCUCAACUCCAGGAGUAUAGUAGAUGCUGUAUCAACCCCUUGGAAUAGAGAUUCCAGUGGCAAUCAGUUGAGGACUUUGACGUACACUGUAACAAUUAAUAAUCCACUGUGUGGAAAGUUCACAACUGCAACUGAAAAACAGAUACUGUAUAAGCAAAGCCAGAAAGGCCAGACUUAUCAGGUGGAUGCUGAGGUACUGACCCAUGACGUCCCCUACCAUGAUUAUUUCUACACUGUGAACAGAUACUGCAUCAGCCGCACAUCCAGUCACAAGUGUCGAUUACGGGUUUCUGCAGAAGUGAAGUACAAAAAGCAGCCUUGGGGACUUGUCAAGUCUGUAAUUGAGAAGAAUACCUGGGGAGGAAUACAGGAAAACUUCAAACAACUUGAAUCAGAUCUUCUAAUGGAGGAAUAUGCAAUUAAUCAGUCCAUAGAAGACUCUGGAAAAUUAGUUGCCCUGAGACGAAGACGACGCACUUUACACCGGAGUUUGGCAGAAUCACUUCCCAAACGCUCUUCCCAGCAUUCCUCCGGUGACAUGGGAGUAGAGUCCCAGGGCAGCAUAAUAGGAAGGAAAAGAGAUGCUGUAAGUAGGACCACCACCAUCAUUGUAGUAAUGAGUGUCUUUUUGCUGCUCUUGGUCUUGCUGAAUAUAACACUGUUUCUCAAACUGUCAAAGAUAGAACAUGCAGCUCAGUCCCUCUAUCAUGUCCAGCUUCAGGAAGAAAGCUCUUUGAACAUAUCCCCAGAAAUGGUAUCAAAAGAGGAGAUCCCUCAGUAUGAUAAGGAACAGGUUAAACAUGUGAAGGGAAUUUUAAGAGACUCUAUUGAAAUGCUUGAGCAGCUAAAGGUCUCCCUUUCCAUGCUCCAAAGAAGCUUUGAUCACUUGAACAGGACACAGAAUGGCAAGACUGAGAGUUAGUGCCAACAUCAGUCUUCUGUUCCAGACGUGCGAAGAACAGAUGUGUGUAUGUGUGAGGACUUGUGGGCCUGGUGACGAUCUGUCUCCUGACAGCCUUGUGUCCCGUGCAGUCUCGCCUACAACAGUGCAGAGCUCUCAAAUCCCGUGGUGAGUGAGCGAGGACAGUUGUACCACCAAUUAAGAGAUGCGAAUUUUGGGGGAGGGAAGAACAGCUUCAGCAGACAGCUGGGUUUGUAUGUAAUGAAGUCACAGCUUUUUAUGUCAACUUAAAAAAAAUAACCAUCAGUUAUUGGGAGAAAAAG